rnacentral:misc_RNA from 1 species
GUCCCCCAAUUUCUCAUUCAUUGUUUUAAAAACAGAGUAAAACGUGAGGCAUGCAACAGCAAGUGAAUCAAAUCCAAAUCUAUGCGCUGCUGAUUCGUAAGACACACUGUAUGGGCGAGAUGGCAAAGGGNNNNNGGAGGAAUGGAGGGGGAAAGGAAAGAGAGGAGGGAAGGUGAAAGAAGAGAAAGAAGAUUUGUAGGUUUGCUUGGAUAUGCAAAAAAUUUGACACCAGCAAGGGUUGAAGUCCG